AACUUGUUUAAAAUUUGAUUUUAGAAGGUAGCCUACAAGCAGGACAUAUGCGAGAUCACGCUUGCAUCCCUAGGCAGCAACAAUCCAACAAAAAGUAAAUACAAGCAGGACAUCUGCGAGUAGGAAACUUUUUAGAAUGUACUCCCUCCGUUUCAUAAUUCUUAUUGAAAUAUUACAUAUAUCUAAACACUUUUUAGAAAUAGAUACAUCCAUUUUUAGUCAAAUUUGAGACAAGAAUUGUGAAACGGAGGGAGUAUAUAUGGAACAGAAUCUCAAGCAAAUUAACUAGCAGUCGCAACUUAAUCUGACGAAACACACCCUAGUUUUGACCAUCUAAAUACAACCAAACCAACCCACGAGAUGAAUACACGAUCACACACAUGGACAGAGACAAAUCUGUCACAUGAGGCCCGGGCGAGAAUGGAAGGGGAAGUGCGGCGUCGUAAGGGCAGCCCGAUCAAGGUUGCUGCUCCUCUUCUUCUUCUUCACCUCCUCCGUCGUUACACCUUGCUGCUGCUUCUUCUUCCUGCCAUGGCCACCAGCACCAUUCACAGACGGCGAUGAGGAGGAGUUGCUCUUGGGGACUGACGGCACGCAACAACAGAACAACCCCAUUUAUAUAUAUAUCUAUAGCCUUCUUCCUUUUCCCCUUCGUUUACAAGCUCUCUCUUUCCUUCUGCAGCUUUAUAAACUCGAUCUGCUGUUCUUUCUACUCUCUGUCUGUGUGUUGGUAAAGCGGAGAGGUUCCUGGGCACCCUUUUAUACUGAACUCGAUCUCCAAACUUCCACCUGAAGGCACCGUGAGCACGCAACUUUGUAGUAGCUGAAAGGGCUGACAUGUGGGCGAGAAGAACUUAGGGCCAUCUUGUCAGUGAGAGAAGUGGAUGGUGUGGCUGGUAACUAUCGUUUGCUCUGGGCCUCUUGGAUUUUUCUUAGGCCUUGGUCAUGUAGUAAACCGAAGCACCUGGAUGAGGUUAGGAGGCGAGCUUCCUUGGCAGGCAAGCCUCUCAGAUAAAACAGACUUCUUUCUUUUAUUUUUUCUAUAUUUUCCGGGAAAACGAUUUUGUGCAUGUGGAUUGAAAAUGAAAGCUCUGCCAAUCAUCGAUCUCUUGGGAUAGAAACUGGGUGGAAGCCCUUUUGUUUUGACCAUGCAUUUUGCUUCUCUCUUUUAAGAAUUGUUUGCUUGGAUCUAAGCUUAAUGGACCAAACAAUCUCACUCUACA